rnacentral:rRNA from 1 species
AUUGAACGCUGGCGGCAGGCCUAACACAUGCAAGUCGAGCGGAUGACGGGAGCUUGCUCCUUGAUUCAGCGGCGGACGGGUGAGUAAUGCCUAGGAAUCUGCCUGGUAGUGGGGGACAACGUUUCGAAAGGAACGCUAAUACCGCAUACGUCCUACGGGAGAAAGCAGGGGACCUUCGGGCCUUGCGCUAUCAGAUGAGCCUAGGUCGGAUUAGCUAGUUGGUGGGGUAAUGGCUCACCAAGGCGACGAUCCGUAACUGGUCUGAGAGGAUGAUCAGUCACACUGGAACUGAGACACGGUCCAGACUCCUACGGGAGGCAGCAGUGGGGAAUAUUGGACAAUGGGCGAAAGCCUGAUCCAGCCAUGCCGCGUGUGUGAAGAAGGUCUUCGGAUUGUAAAGCACUUUAAGUUGGGAGGAAGGGCAGUAAGCUAAUACCUUGCUGUUUUGACGUUACCGACAGAAUAAGCACCGGCUAACUCUGUGCCAGCAGCCGCGGUAAUACAGAGGGUGCAAGCGUUAAUCGGAAUUACUGGGCGUAAAGCGCGCGUAGGUGGUUUGUUAAGUUGGAUGUGAAAGCCCCGGGCUCAACCUGGGAACUGCAUCCAAAACUGGCAAGCUAGAGUACGGUAGAGGGUGGUGGAAUUUCCUGUGUAGCGGUGAAAUGCGUAGAUAUAGGAAGGAACACCAGUGGCGAAGGCGACCACCUGGACUGAUACUGACACUGAGGUGCGAAAGCGUGGGGAGCAAA